rnacentral:rRNA from 1 species
AGUGAACGCUGGCGGCAGGCCUAACACAUGCAAGUCGAACGGCAGCACAGGGGAGCUUGCUCCCUGGGUGGCAAGUGGCGGACGGGUGAGGAAUACAUCGGAAUCUACCCUGUCGUGGGGGAUAACGUAGGGAAACUUACGCUAAUACCGCAUACGACCUCCGGGUGAAAGCAGGGGAUCGCAAGACCUUGCGCGAUUGGAUGAGCCGAUGUCCGAUUAGCUAGUUGGCGGGGUAAAGGCCCACCAAGGCGACGAUCGGUAGCUGGUCUGAGAGGAUGAUCAGCCACACUGGAACUGAGACACGGUCCAGACUCCUACGGGAGGCAGCAGUGGGGAAUAUUGGACAAUGGGCGAAAGCCUGAUCCAGCCAUGCCGCGUGGGUGAAGAAGGCCUUCGGGUUGUAAAGCCCUUUUGUUGGGAAAGAAAACUUUCCGGUUAAUACCCGGAGAGAAUGACGGUACCCAAAGAAUAAGCACCGGCUAACUUCGUG